GUCCCCGUCCCCCCCCACCCCGCAGCGCCGCGGAUGCUCUCGGGCAGCGGCGGCCGCGGUGCCCGGUCGGCGGGGCCAUGGCGGCUCCGGACAGUUGCGUGAAGGUGGCCGUGAGAAUCCGUCCCCAACUGUCCAAAGAGAAAAUAGAGGGAUGUCACAUCUGCACCUCAGUGACACCUGGCGAGCCCCAAGUGCUGCUGGGGAAGGACAAGGCCUUCACCUAUGACUUUGUCUUUGACCUGGACACGUGGCAGGAGCAGAUCUACACAACGUGUGUUGGCAAGCUCAUUGAAGGCUGCUUUGAGGGCUACAACGCCACUGUGCUGGCAUAUGGACAGACUGGUGCGGGGAAGACGUACACCAUGGGCACUGGCUUUGACAUGAACAUCUCUGAGGAAGAGCAGGGCAUCAUCCCACGGGCCAUCGGCCACCUCUUCAGCGGCAUCGAGGAGCGCAAGCGCGCGGCGCAGAGUCAGGGCAGGGCACCUCCGGAGUUCAAAGUCAGUGCCCAGUUCCUGGAGCUCUACAACGAGGAGAUCCUGGACCUGUUUGACAGUGCCCGUGACCCUGACAUGCGCCAUCGCAAAUCCAACAUCAAAAUCCAUGAGGAUGCCAGUGGAAGCAUCUACACCACAGGGGUUACGUCUCGCCUCAUCAGCUCACAGGAUGAGCUGAUCCAAUGCCUAAAACAGGGAGCUCUUUCCCGCACCACCGCCAGCACCCAGAUGAAUGUGCAGAGCUCCCGGUCCCAUGCCAUCUUCACCAUUCACCUCUGCCAGAUGAGAGUGUGCGCCCGCCCGGAGCUGGUGAAUGGGGAGGUGACCAGCCUCCUGGAUGGAUCCCAGCCCACCACGGAGUACGAGACCCUCACAGCCAAGUUUCACUUCGUGGACCUGGCUGGCUCAGAGAGGCUGAAGCGGACAGGUGCUACCGGCGAGAGGGCCAAGGAAGGCAUCUCCAUCAACUGUGGGCUGCUGGCCCUGGGGAACGUCAUUAGUGCCCUCGGAGACCAGAGCAAGAAGGUUGUGCACGUACCCUACCGUGACUCCAAGCUCACCCGCCUGCUGCAGGAUUCCCUUGGGGGCAACAGCCAAACCAUCAUGAUCGCCUGCGUGAGCCCCUCUGACCGGGACUUCAUGGAGACCUUGAACACACUCAAGUAUGCCAACCGGGCCCGCAACAUCAAGAACAAGGUGGUGGUGAACCAGGACAAGACAAGUCAGCAGAUCAGUGCCCUGAGGGCCGAGAUUGCCCGGCUGCAGAUGGAGCUGAUGGAGUACAAGGCAGGCAAGCGGGUCGUUGGGGAGGAUGGCUCAGAAGGCUACAGUGACCUGUUCCGCGAGAACGCCAUGCUGCAGAAGGAGAACAGCACCCUGCGCAUGCGGGUGAAGGCCAUGCAAGAGGCCAUUGAUGCCAUCAACAGCAGGGUCACCCACCUCAUGAGCCAGGAGGCCAACCUCAUGCUGGCCAGGGCAGGAGACGGUAAUGAAGCUAUUGGCACCCUCAUCCAGAACUACAUUCGGGAGAUUGAAGAGCUGAGGACGAAGCUCCUGGAGAGCGAGUCCAUGAACGAGUCUCUGCGUCGCAGCCUCUCGCGUGCCUCUGCCCGGCCCCCUUAUUCCAUGGGCUCAUCCCCAGGCUCCAACUUGGCUGGGCUGUGCAGCCCCGCUGCACCGGUGGACACGGAGGCCUCCGAUGUCCUGCGACGGGCAAAGCAGGACCUGGAGCGCCUCAAGAAGAAAGAGAGGAGGCAGCGGAGGAAGAGCCCAGAGAAGGAAGCAUUUAAGAAAAGGCAGAAACUGCAGCAAGACAAUGAGGAGGAGACGGAUGAGAAUGAGGUGGAAGAGGAGGAAGAGGAGCAGGACGAGAGUGGCUGUGAGGAAGAGGAUGGACGUGAAGAUGAAGAUGAGGAUUCGGGCAGUGAAGAGAGCCUGGUGGACUCAGACUCGGAUGCAGAGGAGAAGGCCGUGAACUUCCAGGCUGACCUGGCAGAUCUGACUUGUGAGAUAGAGAUCAAACAGAAGCUGAUCGAUGAGCUGGAGAACAGCCAGCGGCGCCUGCAGACCCUCAAGCACCAGUACGAGGAGAAGCUGAUCCUGCUGCAGAACAAGAUUCGGGACACACAGCUGGAGCGGGACCGGGUCCUGCAGAAUCUCAGUACUAUGGAAUGCUACACAGAGGAGAAAGCCAACAAGAUCAAAGCAGACUAUGAGAAGCGGCUGAAGGAGAUGAACCGGGACCUGCAGAAGCUCCAGGCAGCCCAGAAGGAGCACGCUCGCCUGCUCAAGAACCAGUCCCGCUACGAGCGGGAGCUGAGGAAGCUGCAGGCAGAGGUGGCCGAGAUGAAGAAGGCAAAGGUGGCACUGAUGAAGCAGAUGCGGGAGGAGCAGCAGCGGAGGCGGCUGGCAGAGACAAAGAGGAAUCGGGAGAUAGCGCAGCUCAAGAAGGAGCAGCGGCGGCAGGAGUUUCAGAUCCGGGCUCUGGAGUCUCAGAAGCGGCAGCAGGAAAUAGUGCUGCGGAGGAAAACUCAGGAGGUCUCGGCACUGCGCCGCCUCGCUAAGCCCAUGUCGGACCGGGUGGCAGGCAGGACGAGCCAGAAGCCGGCAAUGCUAGACUCAGGCGCCGAGGUCUCGGCCAGCACCACGUCCUCCGAGCCCGAGUCCGGCGCUCGCUCUGUCUCCAGCAUUGUGCGCCAGUGGAACAGGAAAAUCAACAACUUCCUGGGAGACCCCUCAUCCCCCAUGAACGGGGCUCGGCCUGCCAGGAAGAAGUUCCCCAAGAAGGGGGCGAGCCAGACUUUCAGCAAAGCCGCUCGCCUCAAGUGGCAGUCACUGGAGCGGCGCAUCUUCGACAUUGUCAUGCAGAGAAUGACCAUCGUUAACCUGGAGGCUGACAUGGAGCGGCUCAUCAAGAAACGCGAGGAGCUGGCCCUGCUGCAGGAAGCAUUGCUGGGCAAGAGGUCAAAACUGCAGGCAGAGAACCCCAAGGGGCUGCAGGAGCUGAACGAGGAGAUCGAGGUGCUGGGGGCCAACAUUGACUACAUCAACGACAGCAUUUCUGACUGCCAGGCCACCAUCAUGCAGAUCGAGGAGACCAAGGAGGAGCUGGACUCCACAGACACCUCGGUGGUGAUCAGUUCGUGCUCCCUGGCCGAAGCCCGGCUCCUGCUGGACAACUUCCUGAAGGCCUCCAUAGACAAGGGGCUGCAGGUAGCACAGAAGGAUGCCCAGAUCCGCCUGCUGGAGGGGCGCCUGCGGCAGACAGACAUGGCAGGCUCCUCGCAGAACCACGCCAUCCUGGACGCACUGCGGGAGAAGGCUGAGUCGCACCCCGAGCUGCAGGCCCUGAUCCACAACGUCCAGCAAGAGAAUGGCUACACCAGCACCGAUGAGGAGGUCUCGGAGUUCAGCCUGGCUUCAGAUGGGAGCAUCUCCCAGUCUUUCACCAUGAAGGGCUCAGCAAGCCAGGAUGACUUCAAGUUCAAGGGAGAGCCCAAGCUCUCAGGGCAGAUGAAAGCAGUGUCAGCUGAGUGUCUAGGACCCACGCUGGAUGUCUCCACCAAGAACAUCACCAAGUCCUUGGCAUCCCUUAUGGAGAUCAAAGAGGAUGGGAUCAGCUUCUCCGUCAGAGACCCCUAUUACAAGGAGAAAGUGUCGCGCACCAUCAGCCUGCCCACGCGAGGAAGCACCUUUCCCAGGCAGUCUCGUGGCUCGGACACUUCACCUCUGACCAGGAGGAAAUCCUACGACCGUGGCCAACCUGCCAGGCCUCCAGACGUUGGCUUCACGCCUCCCUCAUCCCCACCCACCCGUCCACGCAACGACCGCAAUGUCUUCUCUCGUCUCACGAGCAACCAGAGCCAAGGGUCUGCCUUGGACAAGUCUGAUGACAGCGAUUCCUCUGUCUCGGAGGUGCUGAGGGGUGUCAUUAACCCGGUGGGUGGCACCAAGAAUGCCCGGACAGCCCCGCUACAAUGCGUCUCCAUGGCAGAAGGACACACCAAGCCUGUGCUCUGCCUGGAUGCCACUGAUGAGCUGCUAUUCACUGGGUCCAAAGACCGAAGCUGCAAAAUGUGGAACCUGGUAACGGGCCAAGAAAUUGCUUCCCUCAAGGGUCACCCAAACAACGUGGUUUCCAUCAAGUACUGCAGCCACACAGGGCUGGUGUUCACUGUGUCUACAUCAUACAUCAAAGUGUGGGACAUCCGGGACUCAGCCCGCUGCAUCCGCACCCUCACAUCUUCUGGACAGGUGAUCUCUGGGGAUGCCUGUGCUGGGACCAGCACCCGCAUGGUCACCAGUGUGCAGGGGGAGCACCAGAUCAACCAGAUUGCUCUGAACCCCACUGGCACCAUGCUCUAUGCUGCCACUGGGAACUCCGUCCGCAUCUGGGAGCUGAGCAGGUUGCAGCCCAUCGGGAAGCUGAGUGGCCACAUUGGGCCUGUGAUGUGCCUCACGGUAAACCAGACGGCGAGCAACCACGACCUGGUGGUCACAGGCUCCAAAGAUCACUAUGUCAAGGUAUUUGAGAUUGCUGAGGGCAUGGUGGGCAAUAUUGGCCCCACUCACAAUUUUGAGCCUCCUCACUAUGACGGCAUCGAGUGCCUGGCCAUCCAGGGAGACAUCCUCUUCAGCGGCUCCAGGGACAAUGGCAUAAAGAAGUGGGAUCUGGAGCAGCAGGAACUUAUCCAGCAAAUCCCCAAUGCCCACAAAGACUGGGUGUGUGCCCUGGCCUUCAUUCCCGGGCGCCCCAUGGUGCUGAGCGCUUGCCGAGGAGGCAUGAUCAAAGUGUGGAACGUGGACACCUUCACCCCAGUUGGGGAGAUCAAGGGGCACGACAGCCCCAUCAACGCCAUCUGCACCAACUCAAAGCACAUCUUCACUGCCUCCAGUGACUGCCGGGUAAAGUUAUGGAAUUACGUGCCUGGGCUCACCCCUUGCCUUCCACGACGCGUCCUUGCCAUAAAGGGCCGUGCUACUAGUCUGCCUUGACCCUCCUGCUCUUUCUCUCUUGCUCAUGCAGUCUUCUGUCUUUUCUUCCCUUUUCUCUUUCUCUCCAUCUUUUUCUCCCUCUGUCUUUCUGUCGCUUGCUUUCACUCCUCCCUCCCCCUCUCUUUUUCUUCCCUUCUCUCUGGUCUGAGCUGCUUCUUCACGUGACUUGACAGUGAAGCUCUGGAGCGGGAGGAGGUUACCCGCGGGGUCCAACUAGGAGCUGCAAAGACUGGAGGACAUGACAGGAGGGUGAAGGUCGGGGUACCUCUCCCUCGCUAUCAAGACCUGGUCAUCUCUAGGAGCUCAGUCCAGGGACGGGGAUUUCUUUGUGCCUGACCCGGUGGGGUGGACGAUGUCCCAUCUGGUACUUUGACCACUGCUAGCUCCUGUGAGAAGGCAGCUCCAUGGGGCAUCAUCAGCUCCACCUUCCCUCCUGUUGAGGUUUCUUGGUGGUUUUCCAGUGACCAGGAAGUGUUUCAGCUCUUCUCUCACCCACCUGCUGUAAUGCCUGAUGGGAAUUCUGAGCAUCAGAGCUCCUUGACUCCUUCUGAGACCCCCCACUGUCUCCAUGGGCUUAUGUGGCCUCCACCACGAUGUGCUGCUUCUAUCCUUGCUGGGUCCGGGCCUGGUUCCUGCAGUAGUCUUUUGCCACACCACAGCCACGAGGACAUUUAGUGUCUGCUGGCCAGGACCACAGUAUAGAGGGGCUGCUCUUCGGAGCCUUUACUUGUGGGACAGCCUCUCUGCUGUGGGCAGUCUGGAGAAGGAUUUCAAGGUAGUCCCAUCAUUCCACGUCCUCCAUCUACCUGUUCCCAGCAGUUGGAGGUGGGCACCUCUGAGUUCCUUUGCUAUGUCCCAGCUCUGGAUGCACAGCAAGCCUGGGAACAUCUCCAUCAGUCAACUUACAGACAAACUUGCUGCAGUUCCCUUUGACAUUCUCUAAACCCCAGUCAUAAACUCAGCUGAACCAUGGCUCACGGGCUCUUGCCCUUGUGCUCUGCAGUGGGGAAGGGCUGCUUAGCCCUGCUCUUGACAUCUUGGCCCUCAGCAGGGCUUUUGUGGUGGGUUCCUGCAGCAUGUUGACCCCCUUGAGGUAGAGAAACAAAGCAAGAACAGAGGUUACAGGGCAAAGAGGCCAAGGCUCGAUUCAUCACCAUCAACCCUGUGACCCAUCUUGUUCUGGAAGCUGUAAAUCCUUCCUCCAGGCUCUGCUCUCAGCCUUCUACCUGGGAAGGAGUAGCUCAGGUUUGGCCCAUUGGCCUCAUGGAUCUAGAAGCCAGAGAAGGCCAAGCAAGGCAUGGAGCAGCCGGAGGAUGGGCCAGAAGCAGGGUUAGGAAGGGGCUGCACACACUCGUCUUGCACAAGUCUCCUGAUUCAGCCCAUGCUUGAAGGACAAUCCUGCAGUGGAUGAACUUGCACGGUCCAAUCUCCAUGAAAAGCUGGGUACUCUGUCCAGGACUCUUUUCCCAAGGAUGCAGCUUCCCCAGGCUCCCUCCUCCCUCUGGCUCCAGGGCAUGCAAGGCCCUGGUCUCACACUGGAGCCUUCCUCCAUCAAUCCUGUUGGAUCAUCUCAUGCUCCGUCCUGCCCUGGGCCAGGCAGGGCUUCUCCUGGAAUGGCUGGAGAGAACCUGGUGUUCUCUGCCACAGAAGAAGCAGUGUUUGAACUCAAAUUUAAGGAUUUCUUCAUGAGAUCCCACCAGCACUGAACUGGGAUCUCAGAGGCCACAGGGGGUUCAGGACCUGCCCCCCAGACCAUUUUCCCUGUGCUUUUUCCAACCAUGGUGACUCAUGGACUACCCUUGGCUCAUUUUGGGGGAAAACCCCAUCCUACUGGCUUGCCUUCGUGGUAGGUGUGAUGAGCGUGUGUGAGUGUGACCCUGCCCAGGACAGUGAGCAGCCCCUUGUGAUCAUGUCUGAGCCCUGCAUUGAGGUGAGGAGCCCUCCUGCCAUGGCUGAUGGAGAACUGAGAGUAAGGCACAGACUUGGGGCUUCAGGAGGCGUCAUCCUCCUUGGAAAGGGUUUCCCUGCUCAUUCCAGAGCUGGUGGAAGCUUUGCUUGGCUGGAAUGGGUGGUGUGGAUGUGUGUGUUUGGGCAGGGAUGUGUGUUUGAGUGUCUGUAACCAGGUGUACCAUGUGCAUCAACGUCUGCACCAAGAUCUGCCAGUGCCUGAUGCGGAACCCCUCGCUGCUCCCUGCUGAAGUCGACGAAGGAACCUGCUCUUGGGGGACUCUUGGGGUCAGAUCUUUCCUUUCACCACCAGUUUCUUCUUGUGUGUAGGCUGCAAGUGCCUGCUUUAUUUCCCAGGGCUGAGUGUUCAAUCCUGCCUGAUGCUGAGCAUCCACCUCGCUACUAUGUCCAGUAGCAUCUUGAAGGGGCCUCAAGGCUUUUGCAGCCUGCAGGUGCUGCAGAACAGCAGCAAGUGACUGGAUAGAGGGGUCUUUGAAGAGAGGGGUAACUGUGAUCUCAUAGUUCUCUGUGUGUGUGUGUGUGUGUUUUAGUAUCUGUGUGGGUUGGUAUUUCCCAUGCAGAAGAGCAUUUCUCGGGUGUUGAUCUGGUUUAGCUACCUCACGGUGCAAGCUGGGUGCUGUUGUUACUGGGUUUGUGUCGGGAAUGGGGUGGGGAGUGUUUGCUGUUAGUUUUUUUUUCUUCUCUUAAUUGUUGUUUCUGUUUUUCACACUUGAAUUCAUGCUGGGGACACAUGGCCUCACCCCCACCUCACUGUAUGGACCCUCGUGCAGCAGGACCACAUCAAGCUCUCACCUUUGCAGUGGGAUUCCCCCCAGCUAAGUCACAACACUGAGGUUUUGCUCCUGUUGCUGGUGGGGUGCUUGGGCUGAGCCUCAGCUUUGUUGCUAUUAGUUACUGUGUUGAUCUGCAGUUUGGAAGUGGUCUCUUUUGUCCCCUUGAAGGAUGGCAAGGGACCUCUGAAAGGCUCAGCUCAACCUGGAUUCCUGCCUCUGUUCUCAGAGGGCGCAGUGAAGCCCUUCUUGUGUGGAGAAUGUCCAUGCAAAGCACAUCACUGGAAUGAACUGGUCCUAGUCCCCAUUUUCCAGAGCCUGCAGCCUGGAGCAGCAGCGAACUGGUCGUGUAAAAGCCUCCGUCCAGGUCUGUGAGAGAACAUCAUUCUCAUGUGUGAUGUUUGAUUAUUUUAUCCCCAAACCAUAGUUGAAUCUAGAUCUAGUCCCAGACACUGAACGUAAACCAGGGUAACCCUGGAGCCCCCAGAUUACCCCCUACUCGGGGCUGGAAAGCUGACACAGGGUUGUGUCCUGCUUUCCUGGCACGAUGGGGUUUGGAAAGGGGCUCACAGCUCUGAGCCACACUCUGAGCCAGUUUAGGGGGGGCAGGUUCCCCCAAACACUAAAGCACAAGGUCCCAACAUGCAGCAGGGGUGGCCCCUGGGACUCUGGUCCUUCAGAGCUCAGAGUGGGGCCAUGGGCUUAGACAGCCAAGGUGGAGAUGGGCUCAGGUGAGGGCUGUUUGCCUGCUGGAGGAAGCGGGUGAGCUGUGUCAUCCUUUGCACUGUGCUGGGGAGCUCCUCUGGGGCUCAGGACUUGCACAGCUUAAGCACCUUCUUGUGGCCUCUGAAUCCCCCUGUCAUUGCAGGGACAGUUUUGAGCUGCCUUUGCACCAUGCACCUCGUUUUGCUUUGCCCUUGGGUGCAUUGGUCUGAUACCUGCAGUCCAGGGAGGUCCUUCCCUUCCUCAAAUCACUGGGUGCUGCUUUUGUCCCCAGGGCCUGACUCUUGCCCCGUGGGUCUCCCCACUCCAGCACACAGGGGCCAGCUCCUGCCUCUGCUGAGGGUGUAGUGCUGGCCCAGAGCUGAGCUUUGCACACAAGGCUCCCCAAACCACUCUGAGCCCACCAGGAAGCCUGGGCACUGUCCCAUCCCUGGCACUCGCAGCUCCUGUGGCACAAAAGGACAGGCUGGUGCUGCAGCUCCCAGUCUGGCCAGAUGUGAGGAGCUGGGCACUAGGGUCCUGUCCCCCCCACUGUUCCUCCCCAGCACCUCUAAGCACAGAUGCUUUGGGGUCUCAGCUUCUGCCUCCUGCCUUGGUGCUGCAGAACUGGUGCCUGCUCCCCAGGGUGCUCUCCCAGUGCCCCUAUCCCAGCCCUUCUUCCCUUGUUCCAUACGGGACAGGGUGCAGGUACAAUCCCUGCAGAGCAUGGAGCUCCCACUUGCUUUUCAGCAAGCCCACAGCCUGCAGGCUGCAACACCCUCCCUGAACACCCUCCUUCCUGGGGAGGAAAAGGGACUCCUGGCCCUCCUGGUGCUCCAGCUGGAACUGGGAGGGAGCCCUGCACAACCCCAAUCCCCCAGGCCCUGGUCUGGAUUCCUGGGCAUCACCCUUAGAAAAGCACAGCCCUGUACCUUCCUCCUGCCCCAGGGGGCUUUUCCCUUCAUCCAUAACAGCUCUGCCUGGUACCUGCCAGCUCUUCCACAUGCCCCAUGUCCCGGGAUCACCCAGCACCCUCCAGUCCAGUCCUGGGGAGGGCUCAGGCAGCGGCAGCAUCACGUCACCUGCUCCAUCACCCCUGCCCGCUGCACAAGCAUUGCAAAUAGCAGGUGCCUUCUCUUGCUCAGAGCUGUUUUCUAGAGGCCAACUCUUGUGAAGGUGUGUUUUUUGUCUCUGCUGGGUCAUGCAGCCCAGCCCAGCAGUCUGGGUAUGUCAGAGGACAAGGUGUGUACAUAUAUUUUAUACCACGAUGUGUUGCUGUAAAUAGUGUAAGUUAUUUUGGUCUCAUGAUGUACAUGUUUUUACAAUGGUUGUGGUUGGUCCUUGCCUUUUUGUCCUCACAAAUAUAAUGUACUGAGAUGAAG